rnacentral:rRNA from 1 species
GACGAACGCUGGCGGCGUGCUUAACACAUGCAAGUCGAACGGUAAGGCCCUUCGGGGUACACGAGUGGCGAACGGGUGAGUAACACGUGGGUGAUCUGCCCUGCACUUCGGGAUAAGCCUGGGAAACUGGGUCUAAUACCGGAUAGGACUCCUGGCUUCAUGGUUGGGGGUGGAAAGCUUUUGCGGUGUGGGAUGGGCUCGCGGCCUAUCAGCUUGUUGGUGGGGUAAUGGCCUACCAAGGCGACGACGGGUAGCCGGCCUGGGAGGGUGAACGGCGACACUGGGACGGAGAUACGGCCCAGACUCCUACGGGAGGCAGAAGUGGGGAAUAUUGCACAAUGGGCGCAAGCCUGAUGCAGCGACGCCGCGUGAGGGAUGACGGCCUUCGGGUUGUAAACCUCUUUCAGUAGGGACGAAGCGCAAGUGACGGUAUCUACAGAAGAAGGACCGGCCAACUACGUGCCAGCAGCCGCCGUAA